rnacentral:tRNA from 1 species
CAGGGAGACAACAAAAUGUUUAAUAUUAUUAUUUUGUCACCUUAGGUCGAUCGGUAUCUCACAUUCUUAAUUUAUUAAGAAUUUCAUUUCCUAAGUUUUUCUAGGUCACACCCAUUAUUUUUCCUGGGCCAUUAGCUCAGGUGGUUAGAGCGCACCCCUGAUAAGGGUGAGGUCCCUGGUUCAAGUCCAGGAUGGCCCAUAUCUCUAUGUUGGGGGUAUAGCUCAGUUGGUAGGGCGCCUGCUUUGCAAGCAGGAUGUCAGCGGUUCGAGUCCGCUUACCUCCACUGAUUACCACCUCUGCCAUAAUUUGUAAAAAGGAAAUAUUUUGAGCUGUGAUCAAAUUCUGAACGAAUCUAGCUUCCUAAUGAAAUCAUUAAGAUGCUGGACUCAUUGAAUCAAUUUCAUUGUUUUCAGAGAACCUUGACAACUGCAUAGAUUAUUUUUAAAGACAAUAAGCAUCUUUAAUGAUGCAGAUUUAUUAUUUGUGCGAAUGCAUUAAUAACAAUUCUAUUAAGCUGAUGCUUCAAUUUUGAAGUUAUU